GCGGGCCGCCUGCAGGGCGGGGGCGGAAGAGGCGCGCGCGGCCUGCCAAUUUUGUGACGUCACGGAGGUCAGACAAUCCCUUCCAUUCGGAGCCCGCCGCCCGUUGGCUCCUGAUGCCUGGCCACGUGACCGCGCUCGCGGGCAAGUGGAAGGUGGACCUGAGCUGGGCUUGGUGGAUGCUCCCGUGGGGCGGAGGUGGCGAUGACUGUGCUGGCCGCUAGCCGGGGAGGGAGGAAGCUCUGGGUUGGUCCCAGCGUCUCUGUGCGCGUGGGGCGCCGGGGACUGGCUGUUUCCCCAGCAGGCGAGCUUCCGCGAAUCCCUGGCGCCUCGGUGGGGGACUCUGGAGCGCUAGGUCGGCCUGACCGCAGGUCUGUGCUUGCUGCCCCGGCUAGACUGCGGAGCGACCAGGCUUCCCGCAGUCCCUCCCAGCCUGUGAUGGAAAGCGCGAAUGAAUUUCGAGUUUGUCUCUUGCUUCAUUCAUUCACCACAAGUUGUAGAUGAAAGCAUGAGUCGGGUGUUUUCUAUCUUUUGGGGGAGGGCGCAUCUCAGUCCCAGGGAGAGGCAGCUGGUCUGAACAGCUUCAAGGGGCAACUUUGAUGAAAGAGUUGUUUCCCAUGUAGAACAGGUGUAUGGUCUCCUCCCUUGAAGGACUUUGAAAUGAGUUUCGUCUGUCUCAUUUGUCUUAAUUGGUUGCAAGGGAAAGGAGUAGGAUGCAUCUUGCAAAAGUGAAAAGAGCCCUUGCAGUGAUUCUCAGUGAUGGAUGCAUUUCCCUGCCAUGAGACUCAGCUUCUUCGUGUGAGCUCAAGUUAGGCUUAGGUUUGUCAUUGGCCUUGCAUGUGACACUUAUGGCACUUCACGUACCUCCAUUCAGGCUUAAUGAGACAAUGGCUUCUAAAAACUGCUUUACUUCCUGCCAUUCAUUUACAGAUCCCUACUUGUGUGAUACUGUCUUCUAAAAGUUUCCUUGGAGGUAUCAGGUAUCAGGAUCACUGCACUUCUCCUACCUAAUGUUAACCAACAAGUUGACCUUGAUUUAUAAUCUUUAGCACUUUACAAACCCAUAAAUUUUCCCAGGUUUUGUAGACUUGAUUGUCAUGUUAGCGAUACUGUGCAGUUCUGUUAAUUCUAUCUGAUUUUUGUAAGAAAGGAAAAAUUCUAUGUAUCCAAACUAUUUAUUUAGAAAUCCUGAGUCUUUCAAGCUGCCUCUUCUAUCCUAUAAGUACUUUAGUCUUUUUGUUAUCCUCGGGAAAUUCGUGGUUAGUAUUCUGGCCUUCACUCACUUUACAUAGGUCCAUCAGACCCAUCCCACCCUCAGUUUUGCUUAUCAAAUGAGCUUCUUAUAAAUUUGCAAGUACCUUUCAUUGUUUUUCAUUUGCUAUUAUCUCAUUUGUUUUAUCUGGUUUUUAAUUUUCCCCUUGGCUUAUCGAGGCAACAUAAGGUGUGGCAUAGUAACUACGGACCUAGCUGGAAUCUGACCGCCUUCGAUUUAUCUCUGCAGCCUGCUGUAUGGUUUUGGACAGCCUCUACUGUGCCUCAGUUCUCUCAUAUGUGAGAUAAAAAAUAAAAGUAGGAAUAACUCAAAAGGUUGUAUUGAGUUGACAUAUAUACAAACAUACACACACAUCUUGCUAACAAAGGUAUGACUUUUAAAGACAUGUCAGGUCAGUGUUUUCGAUUAAGAACUUCAGAAUAGGAGACCCAUAUCCUAAAGGACAGUAUAUUCUAUAGCUAUAGUUGUUGUUUGUUUUUGUUUUGAGACAGGGUUUCACUAUGCAGUUCAGGCUGGCGCUCGUACUCACUACAUGGCCUGGGCUGGUUUUCAACUCUGAGCAGUCCUGCCUCAGGCUCCUGAGUACUGGGAUUACAGGUACCACCACUUCUGUCUUUAAAACUAGUGUUAUUAAUUGAAUAAGAGUCUUGGAACCUUGGGAUGUCACUUUAAAUUACAUGACUCUCACUACCUGUGAGGCCCUACUUCAUAAGCAUCGAGACCAGUUAACUGAGGCUAAGUGGAUUGUUAAGAGUUCUUGCCUGAGUGUGUACCAAAGAAGUUGCUAGUAGACUUUUCUGUUGUCUAUAAAUGUUUUCCUAACAGUUAUCAAUAUAGUAAUGGUCUCCAGAACCUACAUAUCCAUAGGAGAUAACCUCUUCAAAGCUAUCACCUUGGUAGCAUACACCCUUGUUCAGAGCUCUUUUAAAGUUCUCUUUUCAAAUUGUUUUCAUAUCUGCAAAGGUAACUCCAACUUGUACUAUAAUCAACUUUUUCAUUUUAUAGCAGAAUAGUAUUGAUUGUCCCAUCUUAUUAUUCUUAGUUCUGAAUGAUCUAGCUAUUUCUUAAAAUAAUACCAACCUCAUAUUUGCCACCACUAAAUAUAGCCAAAAGAAUUUGUCAUCAAGAUUGAAUGCCAAAGUAUUUCUGGAAUCAGAAUAAAACCUCUCCAAGGUGGUGGAUUUGAAAUAAUCUUAUUUAGAGGUGCAAGUUUUGUUCUCUAGUUGUAAAGUUAUAUAAUUCAGUGCGUGCUGUAAAUAAAGUUCCAGCUCUUCCACAGAGUUACCGAUUGCUGGUACACUAGCAGAGGUUCCUUUGCAGCCCACUUUGACUUCCCUCUGGCAUGGCCGUGUUCCUGUUUCUAGAUGGACUUCCAUGUGGCCACCCAAGGCACUUUGAAAGCCUUAUUCAUCUAGCUAAGGCCAAGGCCGUUCUUGAGUUUACUGUUCUGACCUCACAGAUUGUUUUAGCCACCAAACACCUGUUGAUACAUCAUCAUUGGAAAGCGUUGAAAAGUAGCAUUGAAACAACCUAAGAUUGCUGUAGAGAGGGGGCAGGCGAGGAGGGAGAAGGGGCCUUCAAAAAUAGUGUGAUACAAAGACAGCACUAGGAAAAAUACUGCUUUGUCUACACACAUGCUUUCUGUGAUACUAAAAACUGUGAGACAGUUCCUGGCUGUGACCCUUAACGUUUAGUCAUUCUCUUAACAAACAUAGAAAUGAGAAAAUGCUUGAGCAGAUUGGCCUGCUGGUGUGGGAGGAUGAAUAGCUUCUUGGGGAUAUUGGAGGUUAGCUUGGGAAGUGCACAGAUGAUCCAGUAGCUUCAGUGAUGCCAGCCAGGAAGCUUAAAAUAGAUCUGUAAGUGGGACUGAGAUGCUAUUAGUGUGCUGGUUGCUGACUUACUGUGGCCUUUGCCAAAAUCGGCAAUCAGAAGGAAGAGAGGCUAGUUUGCCACAUUUCUCCUUACCUUCUGUUUUCCUAUUGGUCUCAACUAGAAUAUCAGUGAGCAGUUAGUAAGCAAACCAUCCGUGUUGAGUUGCUUCUUUAAAGUUUAUUUACUUGGAACAAUGCUGUAAAAUUGACAAGUUAUUUACAUGGAAAAGGCAGAACAUGUUAUUGUGGUUUCCUUCAGACCAGAGGCUGUUCGAGGAGCUUUCACGUUGUCUAAAUUUAUAUUUGAAAUCUGUUAUCAGAUUUCAAAAGUCCGUAGACAACUGAAGGGGAAAAUAAGUCAAACUUCAUUGUCUCGCAAAAUUAGGGAAAGAAUCCUUUUGGCUGGUAGAGAGUUUCUGUUUAUUCAUUGACAUGACAAAAAAUAAGAAAAGUAGGUAUCUAGGGUGGCUUAAUAAUAAAAGUUCAAGUCCUUUUAGUAAGAAGAAUGAGUAUCUGUGGAUCUGAGAGUGGUACCUGCUGGUGCUUGUGGACUUACUUAUGAUGGUAAGUAACUUACGAUGAAAAUGUAUUGAGUACCCCUAAAUCUACUGAACCUUCUAACUUGCUAACAUCAUGCAUUGAGUAUAAUUGUUUCGCCUUGUGAUCAUGCAGCUCACAGAGCCUCAUCAUGCUGUCAUUGAGCCCCACUGAAAGAGAAUAUCAUACCCCAGAACCUUAGUCCAAACAGAGGUCAAAAUCCCAAAUUUAAAUAUGGUGUCUGCUAAAUCAUAUCAAUUCACACCAUCAUAAAAUUUAAAAAUCAUACACUGGACAAUCAUAAGGGAUCAUCAGGAUUUCAAAAGUCCCUGUUAAUGAGGAUAUCUUCAAAAAUAAGAAUGGCACGUGUAAGUGUGGGAGGGGGAUGAAGAGGGCUUGGUAUUAUGGUGUUGCCAUCAGGCAAUCUGGCAAGGUUUUCAUUCCAUAUAAUUCUGUAGAUUCAUUCCCUGAAACACAGGGUAGAAGUGAGGGAAGGGCUCCAGGGUAGCUGAGACUUUGGGGACUGUCUAGAUUGGGGUGUAUUUACAAUAGAUGCAAGGUCGUGAGCGCCUCUGAAGCAGGUCCUGCCAAUCUGUAAACUCCAUCAGGAGUCCUCAAGCCAUGACCUCAGAAAUAGUAGCUGCUUAUACUUCUUCAAAGUGACAGCUCUUUGCUUAACAGAGUAUAAGAUGUUCGAGGACAAGAACCAUGACUCUUUUGUAUACCAACGUGUAUCAGGUAGUAAGUGUUUCCUUUAUGCCAUCUCCAUUCUGAGUGCAUUGCCUCAGUGCAAGAUAGGUAUUAUCCUUAUGUCCAUUUCACAGGAGAGAAAACUGAGUCUCAGUAGGGGCAAAUUGCCCAGGAUUAUAUAAAUCACAAGGGAGAGGACUGUCUACCCCCAGAGCUUACCCUCUAAGGCACUAUGCCAUAGUGACCACUACACAGCAAGUGUUUGGUAAUGAAUAAGUGAACUCAAUUGAAAUGAAGAAAAAUGGAGCAUACUGCCACAGGUGAAUGCACUGAGAAUAUUUCAUGAAUGAAUGUAUGGAUGAAUAAACGUCACCUUUUCAAAAGAUGUGAUGUGACUCAUGUAAUUAUACAUUCAUGGAACUACAGAAUAUCACAUUUUCAUCAUGGAUUUGAGGCAAACUACAUCGUUAAAUUUCAGGAUUUCUACCCAGGCUUAUUGUGUCUGUAACCAGCAAUACAAUUUGAAUAGCUAAGUGUACCACUGCUUGACUAAUUCUUGUGAGAACGUGCCAAGGUUCAGUUCUGGUUUCUCAGGAGAACCAGUUAUUGCUCUAAAAGCACACUUUCCUCCGAUACCAGAUGUUAUUUAUAGAUAAAUAUCUAAUGUAUUCAAUUACAUUCUACUGAUAAACUGUAGUUCAUUUUAUUAUAUGGAGUUAAAAAUCUGCCAAAACCUUUAAAUUAUUGUUCAACUUAAAAUGCUUUUAUUUUUAAGCAAUAUCAACUGGAGAGAAAACGUUUGUGGGGAAAGAAAUGACAAAGGGGAACAUUAACAAUAGCAAGCCAAGCCUGGUGGCAUAUGCCUAUAAUUUUAGUACUUGGGAGACUGAAGCAGGAGGAUUGUUGAGAGGCCAGCCUGGGCUACAAAGUGAAUUGAAGGCCAGCCUAAACUGCAUAGCAGAACGCUGUCUCAGACAAAAAAGUAAAUAAAUAAAAAUUUAAAAAUUACCCAGUAACUUCACCUUUUUUAAAUCUAAGGUGUGAUUAAGGAUUAGGGGUAAGGUGACUGAAAAUGCCAGAUGAUGGAUGGCAAGCCAUACCAAGUGUUAGGUCUUUUUGGUUUUCUAUUAUUGUUGUAAUAGUUACCACAAUGGAAGUGUCUUGAGAAAACACACAUAUUAGCUUUGGGUUUUGUAGAUCAGAAGUCUGACUUGGGUCUCAGUGGGCUGGAGUGAUGUCAGCAGGGAUGUGUCCCUUCUGGAAACACCAGAGGAGAAUCUGUUUUCUUUUACCAUUCUCGACAGUGGCCAUCAUUCUUUCUUUUGGUUUGGUUUCUUUUGGGGGAGGGGUUGUUUGUUUGUUUCUUGGCUUUUUGAAUCAGGGUCUUACUAUGUAGAUCAGGCUGGCCCUGAACUCACUUUGCAGCCCAGCCCAGGCCUUGAAUUUGCAGCCACCCUCCUGCCUCAGCCUCCCAAGUUCUGAGAUUACAGGCAUGCACCACCCUGCCUGGCUUUGCAUGACUCCUUUCUCUAAUCUACAGUGAGCAGAAUGAUGUCUUCAAAGCAUACUCAGACUCUAACUUCUGCCUUGCUUUAUAACAGAACCUUCUGAUUAGUUUCAGCCUGCUGUUAGAGUCUGGGAUAGUCUCUUUAAAAUGGACUGGUUAGAAACUUUGAAUUCACAUGUACCUUGAAUUCUCCUUUGCCAUAAUCACAGGUUUUGGGAAUUAUGGUUUUGGGCAUAUUUUUUUAGGGGGAACCACAGUGCUUUUCUCUCUUUGGUAUUCAUUCAUUUAUAACUUAAGAAAACACAUAGUGAAAAUAAAUAUUCUUAUCCUCAAGAAGCCUGAUAUUUAGGCAGAGAGCUUAAAAAUGAAAAUCCAAAAAUGACCAGCAGUACAGGCUGGAAUGUACCAAUAUUCAGUGCAAGGCAUUCAAAUUUAUGUUAUAGGAUUUGUGGGAGGAAUUACUUGGGCUUAUGCGAGAGAAAAAGAGCUCACUGGAAUUUGUUGGGUAGCAGUAUGAAAUGAGUGACCAUUAACACCUCAUUUCUUUGUAGUCUUAUCUUUCAAAAGCCUAGGCAUGUGGCAUGGGCCUGUAAUCCCAGUUCUGCUCCACAGACUGAGGCAGUAGAAUCCCAAGAGCAGAGGCUAGCUUGUGCAAGUAAGCAAGACUCUGCUCAAUGCAUAGAUGCUGCAUACAAACACACAAACAUACAAGUUGGGCAGAAAGCUUAGUGCUUCCUGUGGUCACUCACCACGACCGCGUGGGGAUGAGGGCUGUGGAGGUCAUGGCCUCCCUCUGUUUGCCUUGGUGAUUCUCACCAUACUUUGAAAUAAAAAAAAAUUUGCAGUGUGGCCAGAGGAAGGCUGCCAGCAGGGUGAAAAGUUUAAUAAUAGCAUAUGUGAAAUUUAGGGAUAUUCGCGAUAUGGCCUUCAAAUACUUCGAUGACAGUCAUAUGAAAAGAAAGCCAGACAUAUCUGAAAAGCCUGGAGUUUGAAAAAUGUGAGAAUAAAUGUGUGGAAGUUAAAUGUAAGCUCAAAAUGGUAACUUUAUGUGGCUAUCAUUUUCUGGAAACAGGAUUAGUUAUCCAUUGAGAUAAUGCAUUUCCCGUUACUGGAGGCAUUCAUGCAGACUCUGCACAGCAAAUGACAAGGAAAUAUGCUCCCAAAGGCCUUUGUGUGUGGAGCAUUACAUGUACACUAUGAUCAUCCUAAUGCCAGUUUCUUUGUAUCCCUUGUGCCCUUUUUCUGGGUUGAACCUACCAAACUCAUUUUUAACUUAAAAUGUGCCUACUAAGUGUGGGUGGGGUGAGGGGAUGCAGUUGGAGCUGGGGCAGUGUGACCCUCUGUAAGACUCAGUUAAUUCUGUGAGCAGGAACCCAAGCUUGGUUUAGAGAAGGAGACUGACUCCAGUGAACAGGGUAACGGUGGUGCCUCCCAGGUGGGGAGCAGAGUGCAGAGGCUCAAAGAGAGACAUUAUUAAAACAGCCAAGACUUGGUGGUGAGGUAAAUGAGAAACCAUGAGAAGGGAGGUUGUUACAGCUUCAUGCAUGGGUGGCUGCGAGUUUAUUAUUGUUGCAGAAGUGAAUUGGAAAAAUAAUGAGACUGGCCGGAAUUUUCCAAAAUCGCUUCCAUUAAGUUUAUCAUAGAGAGGAGGCUGUUUUAAUAUUUGUGAACAUAGAAAGUCAUGUGUGAACGGUGAACUAUUUUUAGAAUUGCACCAUGGUACUUACUGGCAGGACCUCACACUGAGCGGACAGAGUUGUCACCAGCCCUGUCGUCUGAGUGCGGCGGUGUGCUUGGGUGCUACACAUUGUAGGUGUCAACCCAGACGCGAGAAGCAGCAGCUUGAAUUCCACGCUGUGUGUGCUUUAGGGAGCAUCCUGGGGAAAUUCCCAUCCGUGGGAACACCACAGAUAAUUCUAUGUCUCUAAAAUAACUGGAAUUUUUCAAAAACGUGAACUCUGAGCUGAAAAAAUAAUCUACCUGUGUCUUUGUGAGUGUGAAAGGAAGUGGUAAGAGGUAUUCCUCAAAAUUUCAAAGACAGAAUUAUGUCCCAGGUAUAGAGUUUGUGUAAUGUAUUAUUUCUUAAUCUCUUUCCUGUUUCUGGCUUUCUAAGUUGCUCUUCUGUUCUAUUUCUCUUUUAAUUUAUGCUGUGUUAAGUUUUAUCUAUCUCUGAAGGUAGCCAUAAAUUCAUUUUGGAGCCAAGGAAGGUAAGUACAAAUGGAUCUCUUUUUAUAUUAGUCCCUGCAUUACAGAUGAAGAAGCAGAGGCUCAAUCUAUCUAACUCACCCAAGAUCACAGUCAGUGUGCUUUCUACUGCUGGAUAAUAAAUCACUCCCCAAAUUAGCUUGAAGCAACAAGCAUUUACCUCGCUCAGCUUCUGAGGAUUAGAAAUGGGAGUAAAUUAGCAGGGUGGUCCUAGCUGAGGAGCUUGUGAGGUUGCUGUCAGUGGUCAGAUAGGACUUCAGUCGCCUGGGGCUGGGGAAUGGCCUUCCGUUUCCUUCACAGGACAGUUGGCAGAACAUUUCCAUUCCUUGCUGCCUACCUUUCUCUAUAGGGCUGCUCAUGACAUAACAGCUGACUUUCCCCAGAAUGAGUGGCCCUAGAGAGAGAAAGAGUGACCCAGACAGAAGCUAUGAGGUGGACGUAUAAUCUUGAUAGUCACAAAGUCACUUCCCAGGCAUGCUGGCACUUGGGAGGUUGAAACAGGAGGAUCCUGGCAAGUUCAAGACCAGUCUAGGCUAUGUAGCGAGUUUGAAGCAUCCCUGGACUAUAUAGUGUGAUGCUGUCUCAAAAAACAAAACAAAACAACAGCAACAAAGUCACUUCUACAACAUUCUUUUGGUCACAUCAACUGUAGGAAACUGGGAGAGAGGUCACAAAUAUGAAUUCCAGCAGUACAAAGCACUGAAGGCUGUCUUGGAGUCUGCCAGCCACGGUGAAUAAAUAAAUGAGGAGCUGAGCCUGCAUGAUGCCACUGGCUUGGGAUACAAAGGCUUUGGAUUCAAGCACGCUCCAGGUUGACACCCAGAGCUGAUUCAAUUCCUUUCAUGCUGAGGGUGAACACCAGCAAAUGUAAUGAUCUGUGUCUCCAGGUUCUCCUCCUGCUUACAAUUGGCAUCGCUACCACAAUUUCACUGUAAACUUUUGUAGCCUCAAAACUCAACGCUUCUAAAGGUAAAUCCAAGUCUGAACCUUAAGCCAGCAAGAAGCAUUUGACAUUUUGGAUACCACUAAGGACUUAAAAGGAUAAAGCUGAGUAUACUUACAUGCUCAGAGCUGGUAGCACCAGGAACAGUUGAUUAUAAUUUUACUUCCCUGUACUUUUUCAAGGUUAUAGGAAAGGUUUUGGUGAUCCCACCCCUCUUAAAGGGUAAUUGCUAAUGUUAGGAGAAAACCCAUAAAGAUAAUUUUAUGGAACGUAUUUUUACUGCACUGCUGAACACUAGCCAGAUUUUGUCAUGGAAAUAAAUCAGAGAAUAUUGUUUUCUUGGUUUCAGGAAAUUGCUGGGCUCAAUGUUCAGUUUUCAGCCCACAAAUCCAUGACUCACCAACAAACAACUUGGAUAAAUGAGCACUGAGAUCUCAUUUGGUGCUGGCUGCUACCUUACCUUUGACAAUUCUUACUCUACUCUGCUGGGAAUUCCAUUUGCAUUUGAAGUAUGUAUACACUGAUGUUGCUACGUGUUUAAAUACCUGCCCAAGCCAAUUUCUUAGCUGAGAUUGCUUCUCUAAACAAUGGUGCUGACUGUUUAUUACAACUUCAGUUAAAUUCACAAGCCACUGCUGUGUACCGGUAGCAUUUAAAUAAUGUUUUAACGUUAUUUAUUUUUUUACAUCUCCAGGACUUCCUUCAAUGGAGGGCCUUGUGAUAUGUUCAUUUGCAAAUAUGUUGAUCUAUUUUGUCUAGGGAGAGAAUCCUUUCUUUUGUGUUUGACUGACUUGUGUGUGCAAUAAUUUGAUAAAGACUUUUAGAAUUUUUUUUUUUUGUGUGUGUGUGUUCUAGACUUUGCUACAUUCUGCAAGUGGAGAAAAGAGUGAUACUCAACUUUUGUGCCUUUAAAACUUGCAGUAUAUCUGCUAGAUAUCUGCAGGAAUAUUAUGAAAGUGUGAAGUACCAGAAGUAUUCACAAAAUGCUUGGGAGAGAGAGAAAAAAGAAUUAUUUCUGCUUGGUAGUGGAGGAGUAAAAUGUCAGGAAAGACUUUCUCUUAGCUCAGGAAUGAUUUUCUUUUAAAAAUAAAAAUUCUAUAAGCUGACUUCAUGAUUUUUAAAAAUUAUUUUUCCUUAAAUUAGGGCACUUCCAUGUAUUUUCUGUUACGUUGUCCUAUGCUAUAUGAAGUAAUGAUGAUAAUAUGUGUGUUUUCUUUAAUUGUGAAACGAAAUGUGACAGUCUCCCCUCAGCCUGCAUUUGUGUGCCUUCACUCAUUUAGUGGUGGCCUAAGGGCACAGGAUUGGGAGGCUGUCUGUGAAUGACUGCACGUGGGAUGGAAUUGGAGAAAGGGGCUCCUACUGCUGGCCUCCAGCUGUUUCACUACAUCUGUCUUAAGGGAAAAUUAAGAAAGCAAAACUGUAUGCUUGCUUUUUUACAACUGUUGCUGAGUAUUUUUCUUGCACGUGUCUGGGAGAGUGUGGGGGAGAGGUGAGAAGCAGGAGAGAAAACCUGUGCCCACGGUGAUGGAGCAAGCACAGUUGCCAUCAUGGAAACUGGUGUGGGGGAGGAUUUUCCCACCGUAAAAUCUUACAUAGCUUAGAGUUGGAAAACUUUCACGUUUCUAUAUGUUGGGUUAAAAUAAAGAAUAUUUGUGUGUAGAGUCCGCCACUUGCCAUGUUUUCAAAAGGCAGAUGGAUAAAGCCUUUGGGUCUGUGUAUCUAAUAAGCCAGCAGUAAUUCCCUUUUUUCAGUACUGGGGAUUAAGCUUGGGGUCUUCACACUACAUCCCCGGUCCCUUCCUCCACCAUCACCAUCUUUAUUUUGAGACAGGGUCUCACGGAGUCACUGAAUUGCCCGCGCUAGGCUAGAACUAGCACUCCUCACACCUCAGCCUCCCAGUGUGCUGUGGCGACAGGCAAGCACCUGCACACCUGGCUGGCAGUGACAGAAUCUUUAACUCCUCUCUGCUGACUGCCUCUGCUCAUUCGGUGUCCUCAUUCAGCUCAUAUGCAGUAGCAAAGCUUUCUGUCCACGUGUGUGUGGCUCUGCCUCCAGAAUUGAACUACAUCUGUAAUUUUAGGGAACGUGUCAUCUUUGAAGAAGGAUUCAAGGAGAACCACAAAGACUAUAUUGAAAGAUUGAAUAAUAUCAAAAAGAUGUUUAAGAAGAGUAUAGGUACUCCUUUAUCUGAAUUCUGGGGGUGGUGACCUUACAGGAACUUAAUCUGCCUCAAAUUCUUUUCUAACACAAGCACUUUCAGAAAUGAUCAAACAGUUCCUUGAAGACUGGCCAAAUAAUUUUACAUAACAGGCUUCCUCUCAACCAUGCACUUGGAUGGUAACCCUUGCAGGGUCACACAAGAGGGCUGGGAGGUCACACAUGCUCAUUCAAAUCUCCCUCUGCUUCAGCUGGGCACGGUGGUGCACAUCUGUAAUCCCAGCACUUUAGGAGGCUGAAGCAGGAGGAUGGAAAGUUCAAGCCCAGCUUGGGAAACUUAGUGAGACCCUGCCUUAAAAUAAAAAUAAGGUGCUGGGGAUGUGGGUCAGUGCAAAGGCUUUGCAUUUGGUCCCCAGUGCCACCAAAAUCAAUCAAUCAAAAUCAAUCAAUACUUGAUCCACCUGGUCCUACUGUCAAGGAAGAGCCUUAUUAAGCCUCCGUUUCCUGCUCACUGUGGUGCAGAUGAUAGUUCUUACUUCACGAGACACUUGUAAGCAGAAGUAAUACGCAUGAGGUAAGCACAAACUUCACCUCUUAUACUUUACUUUGUAUUAUUGCUGUUUCCUUCUGAAAGCAGUGCCCUCCCCCUGCUCUUCUUGCUUCUGUUGUUUACUGACUCAUCUUUGAAUCUGGAGGCCCCCAAUUCCUGAGGACUAGUUGUUCUUUCAAGUUCCUUGAAACCAAAGCUCCUGGAUAGAAAUUUUAAAAUGUGCUGAUACAUAUUUAUAGAGCAGCAGGUCAUUUAUUUUGAUUAGCAGUUAUAUUGAAGCAAAUUAACCAAAAUUUUCUAUCACAAUAUUUCUAGACAAAGAGAAAUAAUGUUAAAUAUUUAUGCAAAUGUGAAAUUCUAUCAAUAACCCUCAUACUUCCCUUGCUUCAUGACCUUUAGCAGCUCAGCAGUGAAAAUAUUGAGAGGAGAUCAACCCACCUGUGCUGACGGCUGUCUUUCUUGCUUCCUGCUUUGGAACAAUACAGAUCUGACACCCAGGAGCACAGUCCUAACCUAUCUGGCACACAGAUGUGUCCUGAAGCCUCUUUGCCCUGUAGUAACCAGCUGAGCUGUCGAACAUUGAAAGAGAACUAAGAAGAUCUUUUUAUUCGCUAUCAGGCCCUCUUGAGAAGCAUAUUUUGUUACUAAAUAAAAAGGAAGAGACGAACAUUGAGGUUACAUCUCCUGUUUGGAAAGUUCAGGGGAAAGUUGAGUUGACCUAAUCUCUAUCAGCUGCUUUUAGUCAUUAAUUCACUCAACCAGUAACUAUUGGAUACUCAAUGUGUACUAGGCAUUGUUCUGGACACUGGAGAUAAAACAGGACAAAGAUUGUUCUCAUGGAAUCUGUAAUCUGGUGGAAAAAAAGACAGAAAGAAUUCCACAGUGACUGGGCCUUCUGAUGGCAACGGGAUGCCCUGAGGGGGAUGUUGGGGUUUCAAAGCAAAUUUUACUAAAGGUUAGCAAGUUUGGAUGAGACCCAGACUUGGAUAAUAUUGCAAUGCCUGGGAAGCCAUGAGAAUGACUUUCACAUUUCCGUAAAGGAGGCUCUCAAAUAGACGUGGGGGAGGCGAAGGAGUUGCUGAACCAAAGUGAAUACUGAGGUCCCUUCAGCUCUCUCAUAUUCAAGCUUGGGAGAAGAAUCAUGUGAAGUAAAAGUUUGCAAGAACCACACAACUCAAGAAGGGGGCUGCCACGGAGGCACAGAACACAGCAAAGAGGGUGCGAUGAGAUAGGUGCCUGUGAUCGUCAACAGUAGUUCUUAUGGGUCGUGUAUUGUGUGGGGGAUUCACAAUGUAAAAGCAAGGGGAAGAGAAGACAUGGUUUUCAAUUAAGAAUUUAAAGUAUAUGUUAUGCUCAUCAAAUCAUAUAAUUUCAGCAUCAGAAGACCUUAUUUCUUAUUAUGGAUGCUUAUUCCUGUCAAUCCUAUGGUCCCUGCAGAUUCUUAUUCAAUCGAUGACACAUUUCCUCUUCUGUUCUUCCAUCACUGUAUCAGUUAUCUGUUGUUGCAUAACAACUCAGCCUAAAACCUGAGUGGCUUAACACAGUAGCCAUCGAGUAGCUCUUGAUUCUGGGUUCUGAAGUUUGCACUGAGCUCAGCUAUGUGGUUCUGCUAGACCCGCCUGCCCUUACUCAUGGGGCUAUAGCCCAGCUAAUGGAUGGACCAGUCAGACACUGGGUCAGCAUGGAUGACCACACUCACACAGUUGGUGUUGGCUUCUAAUGGAGAAACCUAUGUGUCUGCAGUACCCCGCGGGUUGCUGCAGGCUUUUCACUGGCUACUGAGUUCCAAAAGAAGCAAGUGACAGCUCCCUGUGCACAACUCUUCCCAAAUUUGUUUGUGUCACAUUUGCUAGUGUGUCAUUGGCCAAAGCAAAUGACAUAACCAAAUUCACAUGCAAGGAAAUAAAGACAUAAGAUUCUAUCUCUUAGUGAAAAAGGACAGUAGCAUAAAUUAAAGUAUACAUUUUUAAAAAGGAAACUAGAGUCCCAUUCCAAUAGCUUCACCCAGAUUCUCCCUACUAUCCCAUCUUGCCUGAAAAGACAGAUAUCGGAAGACCAGUCAUGGGCCUAGCUACGCGAAGACCAGAAAUUCCCAGGAAAAUGUGAAUUCAUCCUAAGAAAAGAAAGUCACUAGACUGUUCAAGAACAUGGAGUCAGUGGUUAGGACUGGGAUUAUCUCAGAAUAGCCCUGACUGCCCCAUAGAGAGCUCAGCCCUGCCCCUGUCAAAUGCGUCCAACGCUUAAGGAAAAGAGGCCACAAUAAAAGGAUAAAAAUAGGGUUUUAGGGAAGUUUCUAUGAAAAAUACAGUGACGUAGAGCGUGAAUGGAGCAUUCCUCAUUUUGGAUGUCUCAGCACUCAGGAGGGGCUGUACUGAGGCUAAGUCUUGACCAGAGGUGACCUGGCGCCUGAGGCAGCCUUCGGCCUUUGCUGGAAGGAAGGGAGGAAUUCUUCCUUUCACCUCUGAAGUCCUCCCAGAAAGAAGUGCGGGAAACCACAGGAACUGAAGUUCUAUAGAAAAAUGUUUUCAGUGAUCAUUAUCUUGACCCAGUGUCUCGCUUCUGACUGUUCUGAUUAAGUGACAGAGAUUAGAGUAAUUUCUUGUGGAUGUGUCUGCUAUUCAAGUUGGGUCCAGGCAAAACGGUCAAUUGUAGUUUUGUUUCCUUGUGUCUUAACCUCCCACAUGGACUCUGUCUUUUUUCUCUCAUCCUUAUCUCCUCUGUGUUUUAUUUAUUAACAAAAGACUGUGCUUUCCAUUAGUUGAAAAAUAAAUUCUUGCAGGCUUGAACUACUUC